CCUACGGGUGGCAGCAGUGGGGAAUAUUGGGCAAUGGGCGCAAGCCUGACCCAGCAACGCCGCGUGAAGGAAGAAGGCUCUCGGGUUGUAAACUUCUUUUCUGAGGGACGAAGAAAGUGACGGUACCGCAGGAAUAAGCCACGGCCAACUACGCGCCAGCAGCCGCGGUAAUACGUAGGUGGCAAGCGUUAUCCGGAUUUAUUGGGUGUAAAGGGCGUGUAGGCGGGAAAGCAAGUCAGAUGUGAAAACUCAGGGCUCAACCCUGGGCCUGCAUUUGAAACUGUUUUUCUUGAGUGCUGGAGAGGCAGGCGGAAUUCCGGGUGUAGCGGUGAAAUGCGUAGAUAUACGGAGGAACACCAGUGGCGAAGGCGGAUUGCUGGACAGUAACUGACGCUGAGGCGCGAAAGCGUGGGGAGCAAACAGGAUUAGAUACCCCUGUAGUC
rnacentral:rRNA from 1 species